UACGUAGGUGGCAAGCGUUGUCCGGAUUUACUGGGCGUAAAGAGCGCGCAGGCGGUCGUAUAAGUCGAAUGUGAAAGCCCCCGGCUCAACUGGGGAGGGUCAUUCGAUACUGUUCGACUCGAAGGCAGGAGAGGGAAGUGGAAUUCCGGGUGUAGUGGUGAAAUGCGUAGAUAUCAGGAGGAACACCGGUGGCGAAGGCGGGUCUCUGGGCCGAAAUUGACGCUGAGGAGCGAAAGCGUGGGGAGCAAACAGG
rnacentral:rRNA from 1 species